GCGGCCGUCCCGGGCGCGCGCCUCAUUCGAGGCGACGGGCUCCGGGCCCUGAUAGAUGGGGUGCGGGGACGGAGACAAAUGACGGCCUUUGGGCUCGGAAUACCCACCUUUCUGGUAAUGCAGCCCAGCGGGUCCCAGCCUCGUUUUCCAGCCCUCACUCAAAAUGGAGUCGCUCUGGUUCGAACGCCUCUGACAAGUGUGUACCUACGUGUCAGGCCCAUCCUUCCUGCAGGCCUUUGUCUUGGUGUCACCCUGCCUGAGCUGGCCCCAACCACAGUAGCAACAGUGAUGCUGAUGUGUGACUGCUGCCAGGAGCCUGCUCACAUGACCGUGUGGAGAAAGUUCUUUCCCUGAGGACCAUCUGGAGUGGACGCGUGCACUACCCCUCUCUGAAUACACCCUCCCCACGAGGCCCUCUGGAGCAUCCUGUAGAGCCAGCCCCUACCCAGAGACCCUGAGCCCAGAGAAUGCGCUGGGUGGUGAGCCUGGGGACGAAUGCAGAGCCCUAGGUCUCCUCUCCAGAAGUUGGAGUGCCAUGGUGUGGUCAUAGCCCACUGAAGCCUCAAACCUCUGGGCUGAAGCCAUCCUUCCGCCUCAGCCUCCCAAGUAGCUGGGACCAUAGGUGCAUGGCACUGUGCCUGGCACUGUCUGAAUGCAUACAGCUGCGUAGCAUCGUGGUAAGAACACCCGCCCUGACAUCACACAGACCUGCAUCCACGUCCCAGCUGAGCCUCAGUUCUCACAUCUGCAAAAUGGGGAGAACAACAGCAGCAGCGUCCUGAGGCUGGGGUGAGGACCGAGUGAAAAACCUUUGUCGCAUCUUUGGGCAUCGCAGGAGUUCAAUAAAUGUUAGCUAUCGUU
rnacentral:lncRNA from 1 species